CCUACGGGGGGCAGCAGUGAGGAAUAUUGGUCAAUGGGCGCGAGCCUGAACCAGCAACGUCGCGUGAAGGAUGACUGCCCUACGGGUUGUAAACUUCUUUUAUAAAGGAAUAAAGUGAGGCACGUGUGCCUUUUUGUAUGUACUUUAUGAAUAAGGAUCGCCUAACUCCGUGACAGCAGCCGCGGUAAUACGGAGGAUACGAGCGUUCUCCGGAUUUAUUGGGUUUAAAGGGAGCGUAGAUGGGUUGUUAAGUCAGUUGUGAAAGUUUGCGGCUCAACCGUAAAAUUGCAAUUGAUACUGGCAGUCUUGAGUACAGUAGAGGAAGGUGGAAUUCGUGGUGUAGCGGUGAAAUGCGGAGAUAUCACGAAGAACUCCGAUUGCGAAGGCAGCUUACUAAACUGCCACUGACAUUGAUGCUCGAAAGUGUGGGGAUCAAACAGGAUUAGAUACCCUAGUAGUC
rnacentral:rRNA from 1 species